CUUAGAACACUUCUACUUACAAUGCAUCGGCGAAUUUCGAUGGCCGAUCCAUCCAUCCAUCCAUGGACGUGCUACUUAGCUCGAUCGAUCACGAGCUCAAGCCCCCACUCUAAUGGCGGCGCCGCCGCGGCGAUCGACGGGGCGAGAAGCCAUGCUGGAGAAGGAGCGCACAUGCUGCAAGCCGGCCGGCCAGCCAGCCCCGCCGUCGAGCACGUGCCCUGCUUCUCCAGCACGGUUUGCUCACCCCUCCUUCUUCAGUUCUUCUCCUAGGGCUAGGGCUAGGGCUAGAGCUAGCUAGGCCCUAGCCUCUCUCUCGCCAUUGGAGGAGGAGAGGAGAGCUGGGAGAGGUAGAGGAAAUGCAUGGUGAUGGCUGCAACUUGCAAGCGAUGUGGCGUAUAUAUAGGCGGGCAAAAGCAUAGUACAUGUGGUAGGAAGACAUGGUUGUCUAAAAAGACCUAACUUUCUCUGUGAAAGGGAG
rnacentral:precursor_RNA from 1 species